GACGAACGCUGGCGGCGUGCCUAAUACAUGCAAGUCGAACGAACUCUGGUAUUGAUUGGUGCUUGCAUCAUGAUUUACAUUUGAGUGAGUGGCGAACUGGUGAGUAACACGUGGGAAACCUGCCCAGAAGCGGGGGAUAACACCUGGAAACAGAUGCUAAUACCGCAUAACAACUUGGACCGCAUGGUCCGAGCUUGAAAGAUGGCUUCGGCUAUCACUUUUGGAUGGUCCCGCGGCGUAUUAGCUAGAUGGUGGGGUAACGGCUCACCAUGGCAAUGAUACGUAGCCGACCUGAGAGGGUAAUCGGCCACAUUGGGACUGAGACACGGCCCAAACUCCUACGGGAGGCAGCAGUAGGGAAUCUUCCACAAUGGACGAAAGUCUGAUGGAGCAACGCCACGUGAGUGAAGAAGGGUUUCGGCUCGUAAAACUCUGUUGUUAAAGAAGAACAUAUCUGAGAGUAACUGUUCAGGUAUUGACGGUAUUUAACCAGAAAGCCACGGCUAACUACGUGCCAGCAGCCGCGGUAAUACGUAGGUGGCAAGCGUUGUCCGGAUUUAUUGGGCGUAAAGCGAGCGCAGGCGGUUUUUUAAGUCUGAUGUGAAAGCCUUCGGCUCAACCGAAGAAGUGCAUCGGAAACUGGGAAACUUGAGUGCAGAAGAGGACAGUGGAACUCCAUGUGUAGCGGUGAAAUGCGUAGAUAUAUGGAAGAACACCAGUGGCGAAGGCGGCUGUCUGGUCUGUAACUGACGCUGAGGCUCGAAAGUAUGGGUAGCAAACAGGAUUAGAUACCCUGGUAGUCCAUACCGUAAACGAUGAAUGCUAAGUGUUGGAGGGUUUCCGCCCUUCAGUGCUGCAGCUAACGCAUUAAGCAUUCCGCCUGGGGAGUACGGCCGCAAGGCUGAAACUCAAAGGAAUUGACGGGGGCCCGCACAAGCGGUGGAGCAUGUGGUUUAAUUCGAAGCUACGCGAAGAACCUUACCAGGUCUUGACAUACUAUGCAAAUCUAAGAGAUUAGACGUUCCCUUCGGGGACAUGGAUACAGGUGGUGCAUGGUUGUCGUCAGCUCGUGUCGUGAGAUGUUGGGUUAAGUCCCGCAACGAGCGCAACCCUUAUUAUCAGUUGCCAGCAUUAAGUUGGGCACUCUGGUGAGACUGCCGGUGACAAACCGGAGGAAGGUGGGGAUGACGUCAAAUCAUCAUGCCCCUUAUGACCUGGGCUACACACGUGCUACAAUGGAUGGUACAACGAGUUGCGAACUCGCGAGAGUAAGCUAAUCUCUUAAAGCCAUUCUCAGUUCGGAUUGUAGGCUGCAACUCGCCUACAUGAAGUCGGAAUCGCUAGUAAUCGCGGAUCAGCAUGCCGCGGUGAAUACGUUCCCGGGCCUUGUACACACCGCCCGUCACACCAUGAGAGUUUGUAACACCCAAAGUCGGUGGGGUAACCUUUUAGGAACCAGCCGCCUAAGGUGGGACAGAUGAUUAGGGUG
rnacentral:rRNA from 1 species